AGAACGAACGCUGGCGGCAGGCUUAACACAUGCAAGCCGAGCGCCCCGCAAGGGGAGCGGCAGACGGGUGAGUAACGCGUGGGAACAUACCCUCCGGUUCGGAAUAGCUCAGGGAAACUUGGAUUAAUACCGGAUACGGCCUAGCGGCGAAAGAUUCAUCGCCGGAGGAUUGGCCCGCGUUCGAUUAGCUAGUUGGUGAGGUAACGGCUCACCAAGGCGACGAUCGAUAGCUGGUCUGAGAGGAUGAUCAGCCACAUUGGGACUGAGACACGGCCCAAACUCCUACGGGAGGCAGCAGUGGGGAAUAUUGGACAAUGGGCGCAAGCCUGAUCCAGCCAUGCCGCGUGAGUGAUGACGGCCUUAGGGUUGUAAAGCUCCUUCGCUAGGACGAUAAUGACGGUACCUAGACAAGAAGCCCCGGCUAACUCGUGCCAGCAGCCGC
rnacentral:rRNA from 1 species